rnacentral:rRNA from 1 species
UACGUAGGGGGCUAGCGUUGUCCGGAAUCAUUGGGCGUAAAGAGCGUGUAGGCGGCCCGGUAAGUCCGCUGUGAAAGUCGGGGGCUCAACCCUCGAAUGCCGGUGGAUACUGUCGGGCUAGAGUGCGGAAGAGGCGAGUGGAAUUCCUGGUGUAGCGGUGAAAUGCGCAGAUAUCAGGAGGAACACCGGUGGCGAAGGCGGGAUCCUGGGCCGUACUGACGCUGAGGAGCGAAAGCGUGGGGAGCAAACAGG